rnacentral:misc_RNA from 1 species
AACUGAUACUACCUGCGGGAACCUGCGGAGGGAUCAUUAUCGAGUGUGAACCCCCUGUAAAAAAAGGGGGUACCUCCCGUCCUUUUGCUAGGCCCUCCCCCUCCAAAAUUUUUUGACAGGGGGAAGCUUUUUCAAACCUUCUGCUUCGGUGGGUUUUAAACCCCACCGGAACAACCUCAAAAAUUCUUUAUAAUUGUUCUGUCCGAGAAAAAUUUUAUAAAAUGAAAAACUUUCAACAAC